rnacentral:rRNA from 1 species
UACGUAGGGUGCGAGCGUUACUCGGAAUUACUGGGCGUAAAGCGUGCGCAGGCGGUUCUGCAAGUCAGAUGUGGAAGCCCCGGGCUCAACCUGGGAAUUGCAUUUGAAACUACAGGGCUAGAGUGUGUCAGAGGGGGGUAGAAUUCCACGUGUAGCAGUGAAAUGCGUAGAGAUGUGGAGGAAUACCGAUGGCGAAGGCAGCCCCCUGGGAUAACACUGACGCUCAUGCACGAAAGCGUGGGGAGCAAACAGG